GACGAACGCUGGCGGCGUGCUUAAUACAUGCAAGUCAACUUGACUUUAGAUAGCAAUAUCGAAAAGUAGGGUGGCGCACGGGUGCGUAACGCGUAGGUAAUCUGCCCUGAGGUCUGACAUAACCCGUCGAAAGGCGGGCUAACAUCAGAUGAUAUAUAAUCACGACAUCGUGGAAAUAUCAAAUCUUCGGAGCCUUGGGAUGAGCCUGCGUCUGAUUAGGUAGUUGGCGGAGUAAUAGCCCACCAAGCCUACGAUCAGUAGCUGGUCUGAGAGGAUGAUCAGCCACACUGGAACUGAGACACGGUCCAGACUCCUACGGGAGGCAGCAGUAAGGAAUAUUGCUCAAUGGGGGAAACCCUGAAGCAGCAACGCCGCGUGAAGGAUGAAAUACUUUUGUAUGUAAACUUCUGUAAGAUGGGAAAAUAUUCUCCUCGGGAGAAUUGAUUGUACCAUCAGAGUAAGCCCC
rnacentral:rRNA from 1 species